rnacentral:rRNA from 1 species
AUUGAACGCUGGCGGCAUGCCUUACACAUGCAAGUCGAACGGCAGCACGGGUGCUUGCACCUGGUGGCGAGUGGCGAACGGGUGAGUAAUACAUCGGAACGUACCUUAUCGUGGGGGAUAACGCAGCGAAAGCUGUGCUAAUACCGCAUACGCCCUGAGGGGGAAAGCGGGGGAUCGCAAGACCUCGCGCGAUUAGAGCGGCCGAUGCCUGUUUAGAGUGUUGGUGGGGUAAAAGCGCAACAAGGCGACGAUCAGUAGCUGGUCUGAGAGGACGAGCAGCCACACUGGGACUGAGACACGGCCCAGACUCGUACGGGGGGCAGCAGUGGGGAAUUGUGGACAAUGGGGGCAACCCUGAUACAGCAAUGCCGCGUGAGUGAAGAAGGCCUUCGGGGUGUAAAGCUCUUUUGUCAGGGAAGAAACACCGGCUCUAACACAGUCCGGGAAUGACGGUACCUGAAGAAUAAGCACCGACUAACUACGUGCCAGCCGCCGCGGUAA